CAAUACAUCAAUAUUUUCCUCCCCUUUGAUAUUUCUAGACCUAAUAGUCUAAUACAAUAAUACACCGUCUCUCGACUCUCAGUCUCACUCUUCACUAGCCCUAAUACACCGUCUUCUCAAUCUCAAGGCUCAAGAGGCCACUGAGUGUUCAUUCAAUGUUCAAGAGUUCCGGAUCGGAUACGGUUGGCCAGUGAUUUCAUCUUUGUUUUAGAAGAUGGAAGAUUCAGGGUCCGAAGGGAUGGAGGUUGAAAAGAAAGUGGCGCUUCAAAUGAAUCAUCGGAUACAGUAACCACAAGCCCUUUUCCUACAGGAUCUCCUUCCAAAAAAAGGAAAAACCUGAAAGAGAGAUCCAAGGCUUGGAAGCACUUUAAAAAGUACGUUGAUGAACAUGGAAUUAUAAAAGCAAAAUAGAUUGUUGCUGGUUCGACAUCCUGACCUCGUGAGUGAUCUGAGGCUCUAGACCGGACACUUCCAGGGUGAGCAACCUGCCUGAUAUAAAGCCCAGAGGCUCCUCUUUCUUACCUGUCUUCCUUCUUAUUCUGAGACAGCAUUAUCUAGUUUAUGAGACUGUAUUUCCUCUAUCAGUCUAUGUAGUUGUUAUUAGUGGAUAUUGUACGAUUUCAAACCAUUCUUGGGGUUAUGUGUAUUUGGUAUUUCGGCACUAUUUAUAUAUGA